UACAGAGGGGGCAAGCGUUGUUCGGAAUUACUGGGCGUAAAGGGUGCGCAGGCGGCACCGCAAGUCGAGUGUGAAAGCCCCGGGCUUAACUUGGGAAUUGCGCUCGAAACUAUGGUGCUGGAGUGUGGCAGAGGAAGGUGGAAUUCCACGUGUAGCGGUGAAAUGCGUAGAGAUGUGGAGGAACACCAGUGGCGAAGGCGGCUUUCUGGUCUGUAACUGACGCUGAGGCGCGAAAGCGUGGGGAGCAAACAGG
rnacentral:rRNA from 1 species